UACGAAGGGUGCAAGCGUUACUCGGAAUUACUGGGCGUAAAGCGUGCGUAGGCGGUUUGUUAAGUCCGUUGUGAAAGCCCUGGGCUCAACCUGGGAAUUGCAGUGGAUACUGGCGAGCUAGAGUGCGGUAGAGGAUGGUGGAAUUCCCGGUGUAGCGGUGAAAUGCGUAGAGAUCGGGAGGAACACCCGUGGCGAAGGCGGCCAUCUGGACCAGCACUGACGCUGAGGCACGAAAGCGUGGGGAGCAAAUAGG
rnacentral:rRNA from 1 species